GUUUUAUACAACAAUGAAACGAUAUUUGAGAUAUAGCCAUUUGUUAAAAACCCUUCUCGUUUUUACUUUUUAUAGAACGAAAUUCCAGAUGGUUUCCAUACUAGUUAAUUUCGAAUUCAACUCCAGUCAGUUUCCGAGUGUAUAUGUAAGCAGUAUAUGGAAGGAUGUUACAGCAGUAUGUGUGAUUAUUGGUUUCGUGUGUUUCGUUUUUUAUCAAGUGGUUCUACAGUGGAAGUCUGAGAAAGGAACUGAGCAGCUGAAUUGUAUUUGUUUACGGAGAGAUUCAGAGAUGACCAUGACCGAGUAAUAAAAAUCUCAAAGUUUUAUAGAGAUGUUGAAACCCGAUUUUCAUACCUAGAAUCUCAGUCAACUUCUGUAAAUGAUAGAUUCAAAAGAGGCAGGUGCAAAAGUAUACAACAAUGCUAAAGUCGAUUUCCAAAUUAUAAGAAGUAACCGGUUUAAAGAACUAUUAUUUACCAGUCGUUUUGAUGCAGACGUACUAAGUGGAAAGAGGCACACUUCCGAACAGGGAAUACAGGUCCAGCUCACUAUGGCUAAAGGAUUUGUAGACAGGGAAUUGUGGAAAAUUAGGAAAUACAUGUCCGAAGAUAUCUUGUCACUGGAGGAAGUGGACAAAGACGAUAGGAAGUUACAGAAGUACUUUGG